rnacentral:lncRNA from 10 species
CUUGCCAACAGUUUAACAUUCCAGAAGACAGCGUGUGUUUAUCUCAACAGGGCUGUUUAUUUUAUGGUGCUUUUCUCAAAUGUCAACUUACCCGUUUAACCAUGGCUUCUGGACUCCUGGAGGAUGUAGUUGAAGUUUUCUAGGGAAUGUCAAUUAAUGGAAAUCAAAUCAGUCCCCUCCACACAAAGUGAUCUGCUACCUACUAGGUCAGUAUGUUACCUCUGACUGUGAUAUAUUAAACCGAUAAAAACAAUUGUAUUAUAACCUGUUGCUCAACUCUAUUAACAUGUUCUUAGAGGUGAGGAGGUG